rnacentral:rRNA from 1 species
GACGAACGCUGGCGGCGUGCUUAACACAUGCAAGUCGAACGGAAAGGCCCUGCUUUUGUGGGGUGCUCGAGUGGCGAACGGGUGAGUAACACGUGAGUAACCUGCCCUUGACUUUGGGAUAACUUCAGGAAACUGGGGCUAAUACCGGAUAGGAGCGCCUGCUGCAUGGUGGGGGUUGGAAAGUUUCGGCGGUUGGGGAUGGACUCGCGGCUUAUCAGCUUGUUGGUGGGGUAGUGGCUUACCAAGGCUUUGACGGGUAGCCGGCCUGAGAGGGUGACCGGCCACAUUGGGACUGAGAUACGGACCAGACUCCUACGGGAGGCAGCAGUGGGGAAUAUUGCACAAUGGGCGGAAGCCUGAUGCAGCAACGCCGCGUGCGGGAUGACGGCCUUCGGGUGGUAAACCGCUUUCGCCUGUGACGAAGCGUGAGUGACGGUAAUGGGUAAAGAAGCACCGGCUAACUACGUG